AGGAUGAACGCUGGCGGUCUGCUUAACACAUGCAAGUCGAACGGAGUAGCAAUACUUAGUGGCGGACGGGUGAGUAACGCGUGAGAAUCUACCUUCAGGACGGAGACAACAGUUGGAAACGACUGCUAACCCCCGAUGUACUGAAAAGGCAAAUAUUUAUAGCCUGAAGAAGAGCUCGCGUCCGAUUAGCUAGUUGGAGAGGUAAAAGCUCACCAAGGCGACGAUCGGUAGCUGGUCUGAGAGGACGAUCAGCCACACUGGGACUGAGACACGGCCCAGACUCCUACGGGAGGCAGCAGUGGGAAUUUUCCGCAAUGGGCGAAAGCCUGACGGAGCAAGACCGCGUGGGGGAAGAAGGCUCGUUGGGUUGUAAACCCCUUUUCUCGUGGGAAGAAGUUGUGAAAGCAGCCUGACGGUACCAGAGGAAUCAGCAGUCGGCUAACUCCGUGCCAGCAGCCGC
rnacentral:rRNA from 1 species